rnacentral:rRNA from 1 species
GACAGAGGGUGCAAACGUUGUUCGGAAUUACUGGGCGUAAAGCGCGUGUAGGCUGCUCUGCAAGUCGGGUGUGAAAGCCCCGGGCUCAACCUGGGAAGUGCACUCGAAACUGCAGAGCUCGAGUCCUGGAGAGGAAGGCGGAAUUCUCGGUGUGAGAGGUGAAAUUCGUAGAUAUCGAGAGGAACACCGGUGGCGAAGGC